rnacentral:tRNA from 13 species
GUGGGUGUAGCUCAGCUGGCAGAGCACUGGGUUGUGAUCCCAGGUGUCGCGGGUUCAAGUCCCGUCACUCACCCCA